rnacentral:rRNA from 1 species
GCGAAUUCGCCCUUUUCCGGUUGAUCCUGCCGGAGUCCUUGCUAUUGGGAUUCGGCUAAGCCAUGCGAGUCGUGAGGCUUCGGCCCUCGGAGGACGGCUCAGUAACACGUAGAUAAUUUGCCCUUAGGUGGAGGAUACCCUCGGGAAACUGAGAAUAAUACUCCAUACAUCUAGACUGCUGGAAUGCUUUUAGAUUGAAAGAUUUAUCGCCUAAGGAUAAGUCUGCGGACUAUCAGGUAGUAGUUAGGGUAAAUACCCGACUAGCCUACGACAGAUACGGGUAGUGAGAGCUUUAGCCCGGAGAUGAUAUCUGAGACACGAUAUCAGGCACUACGGGGCGCAGCAGGUGCGAAAACUUCGCACUGUGCGAAAGCACGACGAGGGAAUCCCAAGUGCUGGCUCGUAAGAGUCAGCUGUUUUUCUGUCUAACAAACAGAGAGAGUAAGAGCUGGUUAAGACGGGUGCCAGCCGCCGCGGCAUACCUGCGGCUCAGGUGGUCGCCGCUAUUAUUGGGCACUAAAACGUCCGUGGCCGGUUCUAUCAAUGCCUGGGUAAAUCGUACGGCUUAACCGUACGUAAUCCGGGAAGACUGUUCAACUUGGGACCCGGGAGAGGCUAGAGGUACUCCUGGGUUAGAGGUGAAAUUCUGUAAUCCUAGGGGGACCACCAGUGGCGAAGGCGUCUAGCUAGAACGGGUCUGACGGUGAGGGACGAAGCCCUGGGGAGCAAACGGGAUUAGAUACCCCGGUAGUCCAGGGUGUAAACGCUGCUCGCUUGAUGUUAGUCGGGCUCCGAGCCCAACUAGUGUCGGAGAGAAGUUGUUAAGCGAGCUGCCUGGGGAGUACGGUCGCAAGACUGAAACUUAAAGGAAUUCCGAGAAGGGCGAAUUCGU